AGUGAACGCUGGCGGUAGGCCUAACACAUGCAAGUCGAACGGCAGCACAGGAGAGCUUGCUCUCUGGGUGGCGAGUGGCGGACGGGUGAGGAAUACAUCGGAAUCUACUUUUUCGUGGGGGAUAACGUAGGGAAACUUACGCUAAUACCGCAUACGACCUACGGGUGAAAGCAGGGGACCUUCGGGCCUUGCGCGAUUGAAUGAGCCGAUGUCGGAUUAGCUAGUUGGCGAGGUAAAGGCCCACCAAGGCGACGAUCCGUAGCUGGUCUGAGAGGAUGAUCAGCCGCACUGGAACUGAGACACGGUCCAGACUCCUACGGGAGGCAGCGGUGGGGAAUAUUGGACAAUGGGCGCAAGCCUGAUCCAGCCAUACCGCGUGGGUGAAGAAGGCCUUCGGGUUGUAAAGCCCUUUUGUUGGGAAAGAAAUCCAGCUGGCUAAUACCCGGUUGGGAUGACGGUACCCAAAGAAUAAGCACCGGCUAACUUCGUGCCAGCCGCCGCCGUAA
rnacentral:rRNA from 1 species